rnacentral:snoRNA from 1 species
CCGCUUGAUGAUGACGAGCUCAUCAACCACAUCAUCACCAGUCUCGACUCCGAGUACAACCCCAUCGUGUCAGCCAUCCUCACACGGACUGACUCGAUGACGAUUGCUGAGCUCUAUGCUUAGCUUCUCGUGUUUGAAA